rnacentral:rRNA from 1 species
CAACUUGAGAGUUUGAUUCUGGCUCAGAACGAACGCUGGCGGCAGGCUUAACACAUGCAAGUCGAACGCCCCGCAAGGGGAGUGGCAGACGGGUGAGUAACGCGUGGGAACGUACCUUUCGCUUCGGAAUAGUCCCGGGAAACUGGGUUUAAUGCCGGAUACGCCGUAUUGGGAAAGAUUUAUCGGCGAAAGAUCGGCCCGCGUUAGAUUAGCUAGUUGGCGGUGUAAUGGACCACCAAGGCUACGAUCUAUAGCUGGUCUGAGAGGAUGAUCAGCCACACUGGGACUGAGACACGGCCCAGACUCCUACGGGAGGCAGCAGUGGGGAAUCUUGGACAAUGGGCGCAAGCCUGAUCCAGCCAUGCCGCGUGAGUGAAGAAGGCCUUAGGGUUGUAAAACUCUUUCGCCG